rnacentral:tRNA from 1 species
GCCGGUGUAGCUCAAUUGGUAGAGCGCCUGACUUGUAAGCAGUGGAUUGGGGGUUCAAGUCCUCUUGCCGGCA